rnacentral:rRNA from 1 species
UGGGGAAUAUUGCACAAUGGGCGCAAGCCUGAUGCAGCCAUGCCGCGUGUGUGAAGAAGGCCUUCGGGUUGUAAAGCACUUUCAGCGGGGAGGAAGGCGUUAAGGUUAAUAACCUUGGCGAUUGACGUUACCCGCAGAAGAAGCACCGGCUAACUCCGUGCCAGCAGCCGCGGUAAUACGGAGGGUGCAAGCGUUAAUCGGAAUUACUGGGCGUAAAGCGCACGCAGGCGGUCUGUCAAGUCGGAUGUGAAAUCCCCGGGCUCAACCUGGGAACUGCAUUCGAAACUGGCAGGCUAGAGUCUUGUAGAGGGGGGUAGAAUUCCAGGUGAAGCGGUGAAAUGCGUAGAGAUCUGGAGGAAUACCGGUGGCGAAGGCGGCCCCCUGGACAAAGACUGACGCUCAGGUGCGAAAGCGUGGGGAGCAAACAGG